UUAUCUUCUUGAGUGUUUGCGGUUGACAGUUGUUUAAAGUAUUGGUAUUUCUGCUAUUUUGUAUGGGUACAUAAAGGGUUUCAGUAUCCUGUCCUUGUGCCUUCACAUGUAAAUAUACACAAGCACUUCUGCGUAAAGGAUAACCUAUAUCAAAUCUGCAAAGACGGCUGAUAAACGGUUACUUCUUUUUACAAAUGAAGAUGAUCCUUUUGGGAAUAUCAAGAAAGCGACAAAAAUAGAUAUGACAUGAACCACAUUGCAUAGAGCUAAAGAUGCCCAAGAUCUAGGCAUCUCAAUUGAACUUCUUCCCUUGAGUUAGCUUGAUGAGGAG